rnacentral:lncRNA from 1 species
CCUGCCAGCGCCCUGGCCACCCCGGACCCGCAUACAGAGCCGAGGGAUUCAGGGCCAAGGUUGCACUGUCCCAGUGUCACGCAUGCCGUCCCAGGAACGGCCCAGCUGUUCUCCUAAGGGUUUGGUUGAUAAACUGGCAGCACAGACCUUUGGGCCUACUCUCACUAAAGGGAAACUCACCAAGUCCCCCAGGACAGAGCUGCGGGGGAGCUUCACUGUGAACCAGAAACGGUGCCAGUGUGGAGUCCAGGACGUAGCGAAGGUUUUCACAGAUACUGGCCGGGGCUGGGCUGAGUGACAACUUCCAGUAAGACAGA